rnacentral:rRNA from 1 species
UACGGGGGGGGCAAGCGUUGUUCGGAAUUACUGGGCGUAAAGGGCUCGUAGGCGGCCAACUAAGUCGGACGUGAAAUCCCUCGGCUUAACCGGGGAACUGCGUCCGAUACUGGAUGGCUUGAGUUUGGGAGAGGGAUGCGGAAUUCCAGGUGUAGCGGUGAAAUGCGUAGAUAUCAGGAGGAACACCGAUGGCGAAGGCAGGUCUCUGGGCCACUACUGACGCUGAGAAGCGAAAGCAUGGGGAGCGAACAGG